rnacentral:rRNA from 1 species
UCUAAUAGAAACUUAUUCUUAGCCUAAGCAGUACAAUGAUUUAUGUUAUUAAAACUUAAAAAUUGUGGCGGCAGCUUAAACACUCAGGGGAACUUACCAUGUAAUUGAUAACCAACAAGAGGUCCUCACCUGGUCUUAUAAUUAGUAUACCGCCGUCUUUAAGCUCUCUUAAGGGGAGCUUAAAAGAAUAUAUCAUUUAUAAGACAGGUCAUGGUGCUGUAAAUGACCAGGAAUAUAAGGCGAGUUACAAUAUCCAAAACUAGUACGGACUAUAAUUUUAAAAUUUAUACGAAGAAGGACUUGAUUGUAAAGUAUACUCUUCAUUUCAUAUAACUUACUAAUAUGACACGAUUUAAAGCUUGAAAAAGAAUUAGGCUGUGC